UCUUUAAGUAUGGAGAUGUUGAUGCAAGUACACUAACCAACUUAAUGCGGUUUUCCUUUCAUUUGAGUAUAAUUAUUAUACUCAUUUUUGUUUCAAGAAAAUGAGUAUAAUAAUUAUCAUAAGUAUCUUUGUUUAAAGAAAGAACUCAUUUUUUGUUGUUGUUAUCAUCUCAGUGGGCAUUGAUGGCUUAUUUAGAAAUUUCGAGAUUCUCAAGAAAACUGGGUUGAACAAAUGUCUGAGGUCCGGAUCGUGCAAUGUGUUUCAUUCUAAAGCCUGUAGACGAAAAAUGCGGAGGGACAGACUGAAUGGCAAGUUAUGAUUGAAGAUAUUGGGAAGCAGAUUAAGCAACUAUAAACCUACAAGGUGCAGGACAUUGAUUUACUUGACUAGAAUUGUUGAACUGUAAUUUGUUAUACUUUAUAAAUUUGUUUGCAUAUGGUGUAUUUUGGUUCAGUUAAUAUUGCAUUUGGUGGUGUAUUU